UACAGAGGGGGCAAGCGUUGUUCGGAAUUACUGGGCGUAAAGGGCGCGUAGGCGGCCUGCUAAGUCGAACGUGAAAUCCCCGAGCUCAACUCGGGAACUGCGUCCGAUACUGGCAGGCUUGAAUCCGGGAGAGGGAUGCGGAAUUCCAGGUGUAGCGGUGAAAUGCGUAGAUAUCUGGAGGAACACCGGUGGCGAAGGCGGCAUCCUGGACCGGCAUUGACGCUGAGGCGCGAAAGCCAGGGGAGCAAAGCGGGG
rnacentral:rRNA from 1 species